GGUAGACGGAGUUUGUGUGGCCGAGUGGUCUAAGGCGCUGGAUUUAGGCUCCGGUCUCUCAGGAGGCGUGGGUUCGAAUCCCACCACUGCCA